rnacentral:tmRNA from 1 species
GGGGGUGAACUUGGUUUCGACGGGGUCAAAGGAGCGUCGAAUUGCGCGUCGCGUUCCCCGAAUCGCGUUAAAAACGGGACAACAUAACAACUGGCGAAGAAAACUACGCCUUAGCUGCGUAAGUAACCUUACACAGCCGUUCCCGCGAGCUUCUCAUACCGAGCUUGCGACGAACGCCGACUCAGGUAUGAUAGCCGAUUCGAGAGUCCGGGUAGAAAAGGCGAACCUUUAACCGGAAUAGCGCGACGGCGCCCUGUCCGUCGGGAGUCGCCGCGCGAAUGAAUAUAGACGGACUACACGCGUAGUAAUUCGGCGAUACUUGGCUUCGGACGCGGGUUCGACUCCCGCCACCUCCACCA